rnacentral:lncRNA from 1 species
UCCACUUUUGCCAACUUUUCUCAUUACAUGAGGCUUUAUACAAGGCAUCCUGGACCUCACUCUCCACCCUACCCCCAUGCUCACUGGGGUCACAGUUUCCCAAAUUCUGGAAUUACAGACAUUCAACACCAUGCCUGACAUUGUCAGCCUCAGGUCAACCAGUUUCUGCCACCAGAACGGAGAAAAGAUGGAGGAGGGGCAGUAGAGACUGGACUGCUAUUGGAAAUGAUGAAGCCUCGCUGCAAAUGUGUCAGCCAUGCUAGCCUUCUACCCUCACCCACCAAGUGUCUUUUCUCCACCCCCAUCCCGGGGCAAGGGGCACGGAGGCGGCAGAGGAGGCCCAGUAUGACUGGGACUUUCAGCACCAGUCAGUGGUUGUAUGAGGACAAAUCCCACCUCAUGGCUUUUUCUUAAAAAUCUAUGAUUUGUUUUGCUUCCUAUAAACUUAUUAUUAUUUCAAAAUAAAAAGCUUUUUUUUUCACUACUAAA